CCUGAUGCAGCGACGCCGCGUGAGUGAAGAAGUAUUUCGGUAUGUAAAGCUCUAUCAGCAGGGAAGAAAGACCUCGUAAGAGGGGAUGUUGGUACCUGAGUAAGAAGCCCCGGCUAACUACGUGCCAGCAGCCGAAUUAAUACGUAGGGGGCAAGCGUUAUCCGGAUUUACUGGGUGUAAAGGGAGCGUAGACGGUGUAUCAAGUCUGAAGUGAAACGGGACGGCUCAACCGUGGGCUUG
rnacentral:rRNA from 1 species